GAUGAAGAACGUAGCGAAAUGCGAUACGUAGUGUGAAUUGCAGAAUUCAGUGAAUCAUCGAAUCUUUGAACGCACAUUGCACCUCUCGGUAUUCCGGGAGGUAUGCCUGUUCGAGCGUCAUUUGUACCCUCAAGCUCUGCUUGGUGUUGGGUGUUUGUUCCGCCUCUGUGUGUGAACUCGCCUCAAAACAAUUGGCAGCCGGCGUACUUGUUUCGGAGCGCAGCACAUUUUGCGAUCCAGAUCAACGUACAGCGGCAUCCAAGAAGCCUUAUUUAACGCUCUUGACCUCGGAUCAGGUAGGGAUACCCGCUGAACUUAAGCAUAUAAUAAGCGGAGGA
rnacentral:misc_RNA from 1 species